rnacentral:rRNA from 1 species
UACGUAAGGUGCGAGCGUUGUCCGGAAUUAUUGGGCGUAAAGGGCUCGUAGGCGGUUUGUCGCGUCGGGAGUGAAAACACCGGGCUUAACUCGGUGCUUGCUUUCGAUACGGGCAGACUAGAGGUAUGCAGGGGAGAACGGAAUUCCUGGUGUAGCGGUGGAAUGCGCAGAUAUCAGGAGGAACACCGGUGGCGAAGGCGGCUUGCUGGGCCUUACCUGACGCUGAGGCGCGAAAGCGUGGGGAGCAAACAGG